rnacentral:rRNA from 1 species
UACGACUACAUAUCAGGCAUAUCAAUAAGCGGAGGAAAAGGAACUAACUAGGAUUCCCUUAGUAACGGCGAGUGAAGCGGGAAGAGCCCAAAUUUGAAAUCUUCAAGGUUUUACCUUGACGAAUUGUAGUUUAAAGAAGUGUUUUCUGUUGGUGUUUUGGUGAAAGUUCUUUGGAAUAGGACAUCAUAGAGGGUGAGAAUCCCGUAUUUGACCAUUACUUCCAGCGUUGUGAUACACUUUCAAAGAGUCGGAUUGUUUGGGAAUGCAGUCCAAAAUGGGUGGUAAAUUUCAUCUAAAGCUAAAUAUUGGCGAGAGACCGAUAGCGAACAAGUACCGUGAGGGAAAGAUGAAAGGAACUUUGAAAAGAGAGUUAAACAGUACGUGAAAUUGUCAAAAGGGAAGCGUUUGACACCAGUGUUGUUUUCUCGAAAAUCAAUUAAAAAUAAAUUUGAUUUUGUGUUGUAUUGACCUUAAAAGCUUUCUUCACUUUUUUCAUGUUUAUUUUUAAUGCACUUUUCGUUUAACAAGUCAACAUCAGUUUCUUUUGUUGUAAAAAGGUCAUUGGAAGGUGGCUUUCUUUUCGGAGAAAGUGUUUAUAGCCUUUGACUCCUGCAAUCGGAGAGACUGAGGUCUGCAGCGUAGAUCCUUCUGGAUUAGAUUCAUUUGUGCUAAGUUAUAGCUUUUCAUAGACAACUUGUUGACUAUGUUUAGUCUUGUAGCUUACUCGCUUAUGCUAUUUUACCUACGCUUAGGAUGUUGAACGCGCACAGAGUCUC